AGUAAGGAAUAUUGGACAAUGGGCGAAAGCCUGAUCCAGCCAUGCCGCGUGAAUGACGAAGGCCUUAGGGUUGUAAAGUUCUUUCGGGUGCGAAGAUAAUGACUGUAACACCAGAAGAAGCUCCGGCUAAAUUCGUGCCAGCAGCCGCGGUAAUACGAAUGGAGCGAGCGUUGUUCGGAAUCACUGGGCGUAAAGCGUAUGCAGGCGGACAUGCAAGUCAGGAGUGAAAUCCCAGGGCUUAACCCUGGAAUGGCUUUUGAAACUGCAUGUCUUGAGUCUCGGAGGGGCCAGCGGAAUUCCCAGUGUAGAGGUGAAAUUCGCAGAUAUUGGGAGGAACACCAGUGGCGUAGGCGGCUGGCUGGACGAGUACUGACGCUCAGAUACGAAAGCGUGGGGAUCAAA
rnacentral:rRNA from 1 species